rnacentral:misc_RNA from 1 species
GAUGACGAACGUAGCGAAAUGCGAUACGUAAUGUGAAUUGCAAAUUCAGUGAAUCAUCGAGUCUUUGAACGCACAUUGCGCCCCCUGGUAUUCCGGGGGGCAUGCCUGUCCGAGCGUCAUUGCUGCCCUCAAGCACGGCUUGUGUGUUGGGCCCCGUCCUCCGAUCCCGGGGGACGGGCCCGAAAGGCAGCGGCGGCACCGCGUCCGGUCCUCGAGCGUAUGGGGCUUUGUCACCCGCUCUGUAGGCCCGGCCGGCGCUUGCCGAUCAACCCAAAUUUUUAUCCAGGUUGACCUCGGAUCAGGUAGGGAUACCCGCUGAACUUAAGCAUAUCAAUAAGCGGAGGA